GAUUGUGUUCUGUACUCACUCACUCACUCACUCACUCCUACAAUCCAAACCCCAAUCCUAAUCUGUUCUAUUGCUUUUUCUGUUGGAUUCCAUUGAUUAAUUAUCAUUUAUGACCAUGUGAUACAUAAUUCAGUGAAAAGAACAAGAUAACUCGUUCUUGGGUGAUGCGUGAAGCUUGUUGAUCACCACGGGUCUGGGAUUUGCUUAAAUGAGCUGUUUUCAUUCACCUACAUAACUUCAGAGACAAAUCCUGGAGAGGAGAGAAGUUUCCAAGGCCUGGAUUACUGUUUUGAUAGGCUUGAUGAUAGCUAUCUUGAUCUGAAUGAG